rnacentral:rRNA from 1 species
GUGAGGAAUAUUGCGCAAUGGAGGCAACUCUGACGCAGCCAUGCCGCGUGCAGGAAGAAGGCGCUACGCGUUGUAAACUGCUUUUAACCGGGAAGAAACCCCAGGACGUGUCCUGGGUUGACGGUACCGGAGGAAUAAGCACCGGCUAACUUCGUGCCAGCAGCCGCGGUAAUACGAAGGGUGCAAGCGUUAUCCGGAUUCAUUGGGUUUAAAGGGUGCGUAGGCGGAGCGUUAAGUCAGGGGUGAAAUCCUGCAGCUUAACUGUAGACUUGCCAUUGAUACUGUCGCUCUUGAGUGCGCUUGAAGUGGGCGGAAUGUGCCGUGUAGCGGUGAAAUGCUUAGAUAUGGCACAGAACACCAAUUGCGAAGGCAGCUCACUAAGGCGAUACUGACGCUGAGGCACGAAAGCGUGGGGAUCGAACAGGAUUAGAUACCCUUGUAGUCC